rnacentral:rRNA from 1 species
UUUUACAGCCAUACCACCCUAAACGCGUCCAAUCUCAUCUGAUCUCAGAAGCUAAGCAGGGUCAGGCCUGGUUAGUACUUAGAUGGGAUCAGGGCAUUUGAUGAAUUAGGGGAAGAGGUGUUGAGGCAA